rnacentral:rRNA from 1 species
CUACGGGGCGCUGCAGUGAGGAAUAUUGCACAAUGGGGGGAACCCUGAUGCAGCAACGCCGCGUGGAGGAUGACGCAUUUCGGUGUGUAAACUCCUUUUAUAUGUCAAGAAAAUGACGGUAGCAUAUGAAUAAGCACCGGCUAACUCCGUGCCAGCAGCCGCGGUAAUACGGAGGGUGCAAGCGUUACUCGGAAUCACUGGGCGUAAAGGACGCGUAGGCGGGUUGGAAAGUCAGGUGUGAAAUCCUACAGCUUAACUGUAGAACUGCACUUGAAACUUCCAAUCUAGAGUAUGGGAGGGGGAGAUGGAAUUAGUGGUGUAGGGGUAAAAUCCGUAGAUAUCACUAGGAAUACCUAAAGCGAAGGCGAUCUCCUGGAACAUUACUGACGCUAAGGCGUGAAAGCGUGGGGGGCAAACAGGAUUAGAUACCCCAGUAGUC